GUGUGUGUGUGUGUGUGUGAAGUUGACAUUAUUUAAUGAGACAAUAAAGAAGUGGAAAGGCCUUGUGAAAAGGCAUAGGCUGCUAAGCAUGGCUCAGAGUGAAAAAGCACAGCCAGGCUCAGCUCCCUUCAAGGGAUACGGCUCUGCACUCCAACUCUAGAUGGUAGUUGAGCGAGACCUAAAUCUGGAGCGAGUAGGGGCUGGGUUGGAGUCAGCUUGGAGGAAACAUUAGGUCUGGAGAGAGAAGAAAUGUCUGUGGCCCUGGAGGCUAUGGACAAAAGUGAAGCCUGGACACUUCAAGGCUCCUCUAGGAUAGGAAGGGGGACCUUGGAGCCAAAGUGCAGAAACUCAGUCAUCACAGAACUGGGGUUGUAUACCAUGCUGUGGGGAAGCAGUCUCCUUUGCCUUAUUCGGGGUCACUUUUCUAACCUCCUGACCUCUUAUCUCACCACUUAGACCCAUUAAUGGCCCAUGUAGGGACCACCCUCUGGGCAAUGUUCAUCCCAUGGAGUUGGGACCCACCAUCAAUGGAGAGCUCUGGCCUCUGGAGUCUGAGAACUCUGCUGUAACCUAACAUCCACCCUGAGAUGCUUGUGCCCUGUAGACCUGCCUGGUCCCCGUGGUAGCUAUUCCAGGAACCUGUACCUCAAGGGCAGUGCCAGCAAGACAUCUGAGCUCCUGUACCUCUGGUGGAUUGG